GAUGAACGCUGGCGGCGUGCCUAAUACAUGCAAGUCGAACGAACAGACGAGGAGCUUGCUCCUCUGACGUUAGGGGCGGACGGGUGAGAAACGCGUGUAUAACCUACCUAUAAUACGGGUAUAACUUCGGAAAACGGGAGCAAAUACCGGAGAAUAUAUUGAACCGCGUUGUUGAAUGGUGAAAUACGGUUGUUCGGUCACUUAUAGAUGGAUCCGCGCUGGAUUGGAUGGUUGUUAAGGUAACGGCUUACGAAGGCAACGAUGCGUAGCCGACCUGAGAGGGGGAUCGGCGACACUGGAACUGAGACACGGUCAAGACUCCUACGGGAGGCAGCAGUCGGGAACGUUACGCAACGGGCGAGAGCUUGACGGAGCAACGCGGCGUGAGUGAUGACGGUCUUGCGAUCGUAAAACCCUGUUAUGAGGGAAAAACCAAUGUGUACGUAAAUAUGCAGGUAUUGACGGUAACUAAUAAGAAAGCACCGGCUAACUACGUG
rnacentral:rRNA from 1 species